UCCUACGGGAGGCAGCAGUGGGGAAUCUUGCGCAAUGCGCGAAAGCGUGACGCAGCAACGCCGCGUGGGGGAAGAAGGCCUUCGGGUUGUAAACCCCUUUCAGGAGGGACGAAGCCUAGGUCGUUAAUAGCGGUCCUAGGUGACGGUACCUCCAGAAGAAGCCCCGGCUAACUACGUGCCAGCAGCCGCGGUAAUACGUAGGGGGCAAGCGUUGUCCGGAAUUAUUGGGCGUAAAGAGCGUGUAGGCGGUCCGAUAAGUCGGCUGUGAAAGUCCAGGGCUCAACUCUGGAAUGCCGGCCGAUACUGUCGGACUAGAGUCCGGAAGAGGCAAGUGGAAUUCCCGGUGUAGCGGUGAAAUGCGCAGAUAUCGGGAGGAACACCAACGGCGAAGGCAGCUUGCUGGGACGGCACUGACGCUGAGACGCGAAAGCGUGGGGAGCAAACAGGAUUAGAUACCCUGGUAGUCCACGCCGUAAACGAUGGGCACUAGGUGUGGGGGGUGUCGACUCCCUCCGUGCCGAAGCUAACGCAUUAAGUGCCCCGCCUGGGGAGUACGGCCGCAAGGCUAAAACUCAAAGGAAUUGACGGA
rnacentral:rRNA from 1 species